GCGGGCGUGGCGGAAGUGGUAGACGCUGGCGACUUAAAAUCGCUUGGUAUAUCCGUGCCGGUUCGAGUCCGGCCGCCCGCACCA
rnacentral:tRNA from 1 species